AUCCAGCUGACGAGUCCCAAAUGGGACGAAACGCGCGUCCUACAC
rnacentral:hammerhead_ribozyme from 1 species